CGGCCUCCACGAGUAAGCUUCUCAAUCUCCGAGAUCCUGCCCCCGUGUAUGAUUUGGAUUGAAUUCGUGCCGUGUCCUAUAAGAAGGAAGGGUCCUCGGCCGGAACCUCCAUCAGGUUGCGUGCUUGGACCAGCAAAUCCAUCAAAUCGCGGAGUACUUGGACCAGAAAACAUGUCGCCUUCGAGUUCGCCGGAGGAAGAGACGCCGAGUUCGACGGAGGUAGAAGAACAUCCGUCGAGCCGUCCAAUAUCGACAACGGCGGCUACAGCAGAGCCGUCGUCUCCGUCAACUUCGCCUUCGCUGACUUUGCAGCAAGGCCAUCUGCCAUCGCCUCUGCGGACUGCCGGAAGACCAUCAGCGAUCGCCUAGACCUACUUUGCCGCAUGUACUUUUGAAGCAUCUGAUGGGUCUCAUCUGUUUGUCAAUUCGUCAGUUUACUGUAGCUAAUAUAGCUGUUGCCAACAGUAGACUGCAUUUGACUGACAAGCAACACAUAAUGCCAUCCUACAUAUAUGGAUUCUGUUUGUACUUGUAGCAGCAGACUAAAUUUUUGUUUAUGUUAUGGUUGAAGACUUGAAGUGCACAGGGUGUUGUUUGAUCUAUUUUCAAAUGAUACUGGUACACACAUGAAUUGUAAAGACUUAAAAUUAUGAAGGAUGAUUAACCAUAUAUAUAGUUGAGAAUCUAUUUGUGCUAA